ensembl:lncRNA novel transcript
AGUAGAACGUAAGUUGCAGGAGGGCAGGGAGUUUUGCCAGCAGUACUCAGUAGGUAGGGGCUCCAUAAAUACGUGCUGAUUGAGCAGAGCUGCCGUGGGUCUUUGAAGCAGACAGUGAGCCUCAAAAGUGGAUCGUUUUAAUACCUCCCUUCUGAAGAGGAAAGUCUGUGCUGCGCCUUCUUCCUCCCUCUGUGUGCUCGUCCUGCCCCUGCCAGCAGCCCCAUCCACGUUCAGGGAGGCAGGGAGGAAGGGAGUCCAGGCUGGCCAAAGGCCUUGGGGCCAGCAGACACUUCCAGAAAAGACCAUAUGGAAGAGUUGUGAAGAUGGACAGUGGUGACAGCUACACAACAAUGUGAAGGUUUUCACACGCACUGCAGAGUUUCCAGAGAUAAAGCCCCACAACCAGAGAUGGCAAAGCACCUCCUUUCUCUGCCUCCAGAGAGGAGAAUUCAGCCGAGCAGGAAACUACGGAGUCUCUGAUUGGCUUCUGAGAGCUGGAGCAGUUUCUCUCAAUAAACAGGAGCAGCCAGCAGCAGGACUGGAGUCCACAGGUGAUCUGUCUCUGACCUCAGGUGUCCACAACCAUCCUCUCAGAAGACAGGCAAGCAAGGCAGCUCUCCUGCCCCUCAGCACUGGCCACGCUGGGACACAGUGGGACACCAGGACUUUAAGCCAUCCUUUAGGCCAAAGAAUCCCCACAUAACAAAUUCAUUGUGUGCAAUAAAGAACUUGGCUGCACCCC